CAACUAUCCCACUAAACACUCAUCAUUCCACUAAACACUCAUUAUUCCACACACUCAUCAUUCCACUAAACACUCUUUACACCUUCUUUUGCCAGCCAUCUUCUACACUUUAACAUCUCAACAUGCAAUUAGCUUUUAUUUAAUCAAAAUCAGCAACCAACAUUCCUCCCAUUCCUCCUAAUAUUCUGAUCCAAGCUAUACGUUCUUAUGCUUGAAUUAUAAUUCACUGAUUCCAGCUUUCCAAAUCAGUUUCCAAGAUUUCCCAAAACAAGAAAGAGAUCCAAUUUUGGUGAAUUCAGAAAGAAGAUUUUCCUCAUUUCCUACUCAUAUCAAGGUUACCUCCUACUUUACUUUCUCCAUACAUUCAUUUGUUAAAUUACAAAACUAUGAUUCAAAUGAAAACAGAUCGAACACACGCAUCCAUUACCACUUCUUUUAGACUAUUAUUGUUUCAAUUACAUCAGCUUAUUACCAUCAGAGAACCACCAACAGAAUAAUACACACGCACACAUUUUACUAUAUUCUCUAAUCUAUUACAUGUACAAUCAGUUUUAAUAAAAAGGAAAUGAAUGAUUGAAAGAACAGAUUUUUAAAACCCUAACUUGUUCUAUAUUUUGAAUCUGGACUGAAAAAUUUGGAGAGUUCCUUGUGUUUUGCUUGCGUGUGUGUUGUUCGAAUCGUGAGAGGGGAAGGAGGGAGCAGCAGACGGCUGUUCGGCGCCGGCAACGGCGGCGCGGCGGCAACUGUCGUCCAGUCCCUGUUCUGCCAAAACGAGAGAGAAGGGAAAGGGGGAGAGAUUAGAUUAUAACAAAAAAGAA